rnacentral:rRNA from 1 species
UGGGGAAUAUUGCACAAUGGGCGAAAGCCUGAUGCAGCAACGCCGCGUGAGUGAUGAAGGCCUUCGGGUUGUAAAGCUCUGUCUUUUGGGACGAUAAUGACGGUACCAAAGGAGGAAGCCACGGCUAACUACGUGCCAGCAGCCGCGGUAAUACGUAGGUGGCAAGCGUUGUCCGGAUUUACUGGGCGUAAAGGAUGCGUAGGCGGAUUUUUAAGUGAGAUGUGAAAUACCCGGGCUUAACUUGGGUGCUGCAUUUCAAACUGGGAAUCUAGAGUGCGGGAGAGGAGAAUGGAAUUCCUAGUGUAGCGGCGAAAUGCGUAGAGAUUAGGAAGAACACCAGUGGCGAAGGCGAUUCUCUGGACCGUAACUGACGCUGAGGCAUGAAAGCGUGGGUAGCAAACAGGAUUAGAUACCCUGGUAGUCCACGCCGUAAACGAUGAGUACUAGGUGUAGGAGGUAUCGACCCCUUCUGUGCCGCAGUUAACACAAUAAGUACUCCGCCUGGGAAGUACGAUCGCAAGAUUAAAA